GUCGAGCGAAGCGCAUAAGUUAGAAUCUUCGGAGGAAGGCUUUUGUGACUGAGCGGCGGACGGGUGAGUAACGCGUGGGUAACCUGCCUUACACAGGGGGAUAACAGUUAGAAAUGACUGCUAAUACCGCAUAAGACCACAGUACUGCAUGGUACAGUGGUAAAAACUGAGGUGGUGUAAGAUGGACCCGCGUCUGAUUAGGUAGUUGGUGGGGUAACGGCCCACCAAGCCGACGAUCAGUAGCCGGCCUGAGAGGGUGGACGGCCACAUUGGGACUGAGACACGGCCCAGACUCCUACGGGAGGCAGCAGUGGGGAAUAUUGCACAAUGGGGGAAACCCUGAUGCAGCGACGCCGCGUGAGCGAUGAAGUAUUUCGGUAUGUAAAGCUCUAUCAGCAGGGAAGAAAAUGACGGUACCUGACUAAGAAGCCCCGGCUAACUACGUGCCAGCAGCCGCGGUAAUACGUAGGGGGCAAGCGUUAUCCGGAUUUACUGGGUGUAAAGGGAGCGUAGACGGCAUGGCAAGCCAGAUGUGAAAUACCGGGGCUCAACCCCGGGACUGCAUUUGGAACUGUUAAGCUGGAGUGUCGGAGAGGCAGGCGGAAUUCCUAGUGUAGCGGUGAAAUGCGUAGUUUU
rnacentral:rRNA from 1 species